GUUCUGGAUGCAGUUCUGCGGUGGACUUCAGAAUUCCUUGCUGUCCAGGAAAAGUGGACCUCAGACUAAAACAAAGAGGUAACUAUUUCAGCACUACGUUCAGAGAUGGUCGACCAUGAAGGCUUUGGAGUGUAGCUCUGGUCCUGACAGAUGAGUUUAGAGCAGGAAACUUUUUGACUUGAGGUCCAAAAAAGGCUAUAAAAUUUGACGGAAGGGCCAGAUGCGUAUUUAGAGUAUUUUCUUUAUAAAAGAAAGAAAGAAAAAAAAAAAAAA